UACAGAGGGGGCAAGCGUUGUUCGGAAUUACUGGGCGUAAAGGGCGCGUAGGCGGCCUGCUAAGUCGAACGUGAAAUCCCCGGGCUCAACCCGGGAACUGCGUUCGAUACUGGUAGGCUUGAAUUCGGGAGAGGGAUGCGGAAUUCCAGGUGUAGCGGUGAAAUGCGUAGAUAUCUGGAGGAACACCGGUGGCGAAGGCGGCAUCCUGGACCGGCAUUGACGCUGAGGCGCGAAAGCUAGGGGAGCAAACGGG
rnacentral:misc_RNA from 1 species